rnacentral:rRNA from 1 species
GACGAACGCUGGCGGCGUGCUUAACACAUGCAAGUCGAACGGAGUGGCGAACGGGUGAGUAACACGUGGGUGAUCUGCCUUGCACUUCGGGAUAAGCUUGGGCAACUGGGUAUACUACCGGAUAGUGCAAGAUGAGCUCGCGUCCUAUCAGCUGGUUGGUGGGGUAAUGGCCUACCAAGGCGUCGACGGGUAGCCGGCCUGAGCGGGUGUGCGGCCACAUUGGGAAUGAGAUACGGUCCAGACUCCUACGGGAGGCAGCAGUGGGGAAUAUUGCACAAUGGGAGGAAGCCGGAUGCAGCGACGCCGCGUGGGGGAUGAAGGCCUUCGGGUUGUAACCUCCUUUCGACAGGCACGCGGUACCUGUAUAGGAAGCACCGGCUAACUACGUGCCAGCAGCCGCGGUAAUUC